rnacentral:rRNA from 1 species
AGUCAUAUGCUUGUCUCAAAGAUUAAGCCAUGCAUGUCUAAGUAUAAACUGCUUUAUACUGUGAAACUGCGAAUGGCUCAUUAAAUCAGUUAUAGUUUAUUUGAUGGUACUUUACUACUCGGAUAACCGUAGUAAUUCUAGAGCUAAUACGUGCGUAAAUCCCGACUUCUGGAAGGGACGUAUUUAUUAGAUAAAAGGCCGACCGGGCUUGCCCGACUCGCGGUGAAUCAUGAUAACUUCACGAAUCGCAUGGCCUUGUGCCGGCGAUGUUUCAUUCAAAUUUCUGCCCUAUCAACUUUCGAUGGUAGGAUAGUGGCCUACCAUGGUAUCAACGGGUAAC